AACGAACGCUGGCGGCAUGCCUAACACAUGCAAGUCGAACGAGACCUUCGGGUCUAGUGGCGCACGGGUGCGUAACGCGUGGGAACCUGCCCUUAGGUUCGGAAUAACUCCCCGAAAGGGGUGCUAAUACCGGAUAAUGUCUUCGGACCAAAGAUUUAUCGCCUUUGGAUGGGCCCGCGUUGGAUUAGCUAGUUGGUAGGGUAAAAGCCUACCAAGGCGACGAUCCAUAGCUGGUCUGAGAGGAUGAUCAGCCACACUGGGGACUGAGACACGGCCCAGACUCCUACGGGAGGCAGCAGUGGGGAAUAUUGGACAAUGGGCGAAAGCCUGAUCCAGCAAUGCCGCGUGAGUGAUGAAGGCCUUAGGGUUGUAAAGCUCUUUUACCCGGGAUGAUAAUGACAGUACCGGGAGAAUAAGCUCCGGCUAACUCCGUG
rnacentral:rRNA from 1 species